rnacentral:rRNA from 1 species
UUAGAGUUUGAUCCUGGCUCAGGAUGAACGCUAGCUACAGGCUUAACACAUGCAAGUCGAGCGGUAUGUGCUUUAGUGCAUACAGCGGCAGACGGGUGAGUAACACGUAUCUAACCUUCCCCUUACUUGGGCAUAGCCUCUGGAAACGGAGAUUAAUUUCCGAUGUGGUGUACAUUUCGCAUGUUUUGCGCACCAAAGAUUUAUCGGUAAGGGAUGGGGAUGCGCUCCAUUAGGUUGUAGGUAGGGUAAUGGCCUACCUAGCCUAUGAUGGAUAGGGGUUCUGAGAGGAAAGUCCCCCACAUUGGAACUGCGACACGGUCCAAACUCCUACGGGAGGCAGCAGUGAGGAAUAUUGGUCAAUGGCCGAAAGGCUGAACCAGCCAAGUAGCGUGCAGGAUGACUGCCUUAUGGGUUGUAAACUGCUUUUUUACGGGAAUAAUUAUGAUCACGUGUGAUUAUUUGCAUGUACCGUAAGAAUAAGGAUCGGCUAACUCCGUGCCAGCAGCCGCGGUAAUACGGAGGAUCCUAGUGUUAUCCGGAAUUAUUGGGUUUAAAGGGUGCGUAGGCGGGAUGAUAAGUCAGCGGUGAAAGUUUUCGGCUCAACCGGAAAAUUGCCGUUGAAACUGUUGUUCUUGAGUGCAGAAGAGGUAGGCGGAAUUCGUUGUGUAGCGGUGAAAUGCGUAGAUAUAACGAAGAACUCCGACUGCGUAGGCAGCUUACCAUGUUGCAACUGACGCUGAGGCACGAAAGUGUGGGUAUCAAACAGGAUUAGAUACCCUGGUAGUCCACGCCGUAAACGAUGAUUACUGGGUGUAGGGGGUAUCGACUCCCUCUGUGCCGAAGCUAACGCGAUAAGUAAUCCACCUGGGGAGUACGGCCGCAAGGCUAAAACUCAAAGGAAUUGACGGGGGCCCGCACAAGCAGUGGAGUAUGUGGUUUAAUUUGAGGCAACGCGAAGAACCUUACCAGGGUUUGACAUCCCGCGCUAUAGGCAGAGAUGCUUAGUUCCCUUCGGGGACGCGGAGACAGGUGAUGCAUGGUUGUCGUCAGCUCGUGUCGUGAGAUGUUCGGUUAAGUCCGGCAACGAGCGCAACCCUCGUGGCCAGUUGCCAUCAUUUAGUUGGGCACUUUGGCCAGACUGCCGUUGACAAAACGGAGGAAGGUGGGGAGGACGUCAAAUCAUCAUGCCCCUUAUGUCUUGGGCUACACACGUACUACAAUGGGCGGUACAACGGGCAGCCACACCGCGAGGUGGAGGGAAUCCCCAAAGGCGUCCCCAGUUCGGAUUGCAGGCUGAAACUCGCCUGCAUGAAGCCGGAAUUGCUAGUAAUGGCAGGUCAGCA